GACGAACGCUGGCGGCGUGCUUAACACAUGCAAGUCGAGCGGUAAGGCCCUUUUUUGGGGUACACGAGCGGCGAACGGGUGAGUAACACGUGGGUGACCUGCCUUCAGCUUCGGGAUAAGCCUGGGAAACUGGGUCUAAUACCGGAUAGGACCUGUGGUUGCAUGAUCAUGGGUGGAAAGUUUUUUCGGCUGGGGAUGGGCCCGCGGCCUAUCAGCUUGUUGGUGGGGUGAUGGCCUACCAAGGCGGCGACGGGUAGCCGGCCUGAGAGGGCGUCCGGCCACACUGGGACUGAGACACGGCCCAGACUCCUACGGGAGGCAGCAGUGGGGAAUAUUGCGCAAUGGACGGAAGUCUGACGCAGCGACGCCGCGUGGGGGAUGACGGCCUUCGGGUUGUAAACCUCUUUCGCCAUCGACGAAGCCUUUGGGUGACGGUAGGUGGAGAAGAAGCACCGGCCAACUACGUGCCAGCAGCCGCGGUAACAC
rnacentral:rRNA from 1 species